GACGAACGCUGGCGGCGUGCUUAACACAUGCAAGUCGAACGGAAAGGCCCUGCUUUUGUGUGGUGCUCGAGUGGCGAACGGGUGAUUAACACGUGCGUAACCUGCCCUUGACUUUGGGUUAACUUCAGGAAACUUGGUCUAGUACCGGAUAUGAGCUCCUGCUGCAUGGUGGGUGUUGGAAAGUUUCGGCGGUUGGGGAUGUACUCGCGGCUUAUCAGCUUGUUGGUGGGGUAUUGGCUUACCAAGGCUUUGACGGGUAGUCGGCCUGAGAGGGUGACCGGCCACAUUGGGACUGAGAUACGGCGCAGAGUCCUACGGGAGGCAGCAGUGGGGAAUAUUGCACAAUGGGCGGAAGCCUAAUGCAGCAACGCCGCGUGCGGGAUGACGGCCUUCGGGUUGUAAACCGCUUUCGCCUGUGACGAAGCGUGAGUGACGGUAAUGGGUAAAGAAGCACCGGCUAACUACGUG
rnacentral:rRNA from 1 species